GAUGAAGAACGUAGCGAAAUGCGAUACUUGGUGUGAAUUGCAGAAUCCCGUGAACCAUCGAGUCUUUGAACGCAAGUUGCGCCCGAAGCCACUAGGCCGAGGGCACGCCUGCCUGGGCGUCACACGCCGUUGCCCCCCCAUCUACUCCUUCGGGAUGGCGGGGGGGCGGAUGAUGGCCUCCCGUGCGCCUAGCCGCGCGGUUGGCAUAAAUACCAAGUCCUCGGCGACGCACGCCACGACAAUCGGUGGUUGCGAAACCUCGGUUGCCCGUCGUGUGCGUUCGUCGCGCAUCGAGGGCUCGAAAAAAUGCUCGGCUCCGGCUGGGCUUUCAACGCGACCCCAGGUCAGGCGGGGUUACCCGCUGAAUUUAAGCAUAUCAAUAAGCGGGAGGA
rnacentral:misc_RNA from 1 species